ACCGGGCGCCCCAUCCUCGCGGCCCCACUUUGGGUUUUCCCGGCUCCCUCUCCCAGGGCGAGUUCAACGUGCCCUCUGCCUGUGAAGGGGCUCCUGGCCAACCCGUGUCUGUCAACGACGGAGAAACGUUCACUAAGGUAUAGAAUAGGGCUGGGAUGAAUUAAGAUGCAGCUAUUAGGAGUGGGUACACACAAGAUACAAGAGCAGGAGGGAAAUACCUGCCACAAGGCCAAUGAAUGUCCUGGAGAACAAAGGUCGCCUCCAGCCGGUGGCGGCCCCAUUGCUAGAAACUGCCUGGGUGGAUAUUCCAAAAUAUUCAGCACUAGCAUCUCUAGGUCUCAUCAGUGCAGAUGCUGAUGCCUCAGAGCAGGGACCCAGGGCUGCAGAGCAAGGGGGGAGCCAGUGACCCAGUGUACCUGCACAGGCUCCUGCUCUUUGGUGACAUCGACCCUGAGAGGCUGAGGCCACCAGCUGGGAUCCUGGCCACCAUUAACCAAGGGAAGGAGCAGCAGCACGGAGAGGACACGCAGGAGUGGGAAAGUGACCCCUCCCUCCCACACAGGCCCUUGGGGAAGUCCAACUGUCCUCAUCUGGACUCGGCUUCCUUCCAACACUACCAGAGAAAAGCCCCGCUGUUCACUGCUUUCUUACAACUUCAGGAAAUAAAAAAUCAGAAGAAGACAGAAAAGUCCAUUUUAAUUAAACUGUACAGUCUGAAUUUUUUCCUCUGACACUAACUGAAGUUAAAAAUAGAAAUCAAUCUUUUCAACCUUCCAAGGCAGCUUUGAGAUAAGGUUUAAAAACUAUUUUACAGCUGAUUUACAUCUAAAUACAAUCUGUACAAUGUUGACUGAGCGACCCACAAGCGGCCACCAUGGAGGGGGUGUGGUGCUGGCGCAGGCCAGGGUGGGGGGCUUCGAUCACUGCCUCCUUAGUGGAAGACGUUUCAGCCUGGAAAAGGAAAUCAGACAGAGGGGGAAAGUUAGCUACGAACCGAACAAGCAGACAGCCCCAGGGGGGCGAGUGUGCCAGGCGCCCUCCCCCGAGUCACAGGGGCAUGUCUGUACCCAUAAAAUACAGAGGAUGACCAUACACCAUGGAAGCGUCGUCUAAUCUGCAUUCCUACAGUGCUGCUUCUGUUAUACAGAGAGACUCACUCACCCCAUCUCAUGUUAGGACCCGCUUAUCAAAAGAAGUUCUAACCCUGGUUUCACUCACCUAUCUCACAUAUGAUGAUCAGGAAAGAACUAAAGAAAACAUGUUUGCUCCAAGGCCAAACGCUGCCAGGCUGUCAGCCUUAAAUCUCAGCUUCACGCACACGGGGACAUUCACGGCAGCUCUACUUAUCGAGCAGAGCUGGGUCACACUGGCUCUGGAAUCCUUGCUCUACAGCCCCAAAGUGGAAAACCAAACAUCCCAACCACAGACUAGAUGAACACUCUGCAGUGUAUCCACAUAAAGGAGUGCUCCGCGGCCAGGACGCACCUCUUGCUGCUCUACGAGAAGACGGGGACUCUCAUGAGCCAGAUGCCAAGGAGUUCAUACUCCGUGGCUCCUUCCAGUAAAGUUCAAACGCUGGCAAGAGGAAUCCAUGGUGACAGAAGCCAGAAGAGUGGCUGCCUUUGGGGAUGGGAGCAGGGAUGCUCACGCCAGGUGCUGGGGACACACAGUGAACACGCAGACCUGACCUCCAACCCCACGGACAUCUGAGCUGGGAAGCCAGUCACACAAGGGCACCUGCAGCCAAGUGCACCAGUGGCUGUAACACAGGGGUGUGUACAGCAUACACUCUGGAUCCCCUGAGACCUGAGGGUUGAAAGAUGUCCUCAACGAAGGGCCAUGUGAGAAGAAUAAAAACUUACAAACAAACAGGGAUAUACGACUAUGUCCCAGCUCAAAAAGCUGAAUUUCAAUCAAAUUAUCAAAGAGGAGAAAAACCGAAAAUAAACAAGUUAUCAUGGUCACAUUAAUAAUCUUGUUUAAAGAGAUUACUACAUUUUCAGACAGAAGAGAUAAAAAUGGGAAAAGUGUGGAAAAAUACGUAUCAAAGUGUUAAUGGUGGUUAUCUGCGGGAAGUAGGAUUUCAAGGUAUUUAAGCUUUUUACAUUUCUAUAUUUUUAAACUUUAAAACUCAAGUAUAUAUGACUUUAUAAUAAAAAAUAAGUUGCUUUUUUUCCCACAGAAAUAAGAAAUAGGCUGACAUUUGCAAUCACCUAAGAACAAACAAUAUUUUAUACCUCCAUGUAACUUUUUGCUUAAAAGGCCCUCAAAAAUUAUACCCAAGUCCACCACAGACUGACAGGGGCAGGCGGAAUACGCUAAGACUGAGAUGGGAAAUUUUGUCCACCCAUCUAAGCAUCUGAAAAGUCUCCCACUCUUGCAAGCGCCAGAUGGCCUUCUUUCCUGCACCAAAACUCCUGGCUGCUGUAAACGGAACAAGCAGGACAGGCUACUAACCAAGCGUUAACCCACAGUAGAUGGCUACUAACCAUCUCCCAAGUGCUACUAGGCGCCAGGCAGCACUCAUCUGAUGGCCGAGCCGGAGCAUCCACUCUGCCCAAGAGAGGCAGGCAGGGCGGGCCCAGGGUGUGUCAUGACCUAACCUUCUCCGCAAUCCUAGCAUCUCAGUGACCAAGCUAAAACAAAAAGCUGUCUUUCAAAUGAGGGCUUUACUAUGCUUUAAUUCUUCUCAACUAGAAUAAGUAAGAAAAUGAGAAUUAUCAAACACAGCUAUCCAAAAAAUAUACUAGAGAUUUAUACCAGAAAUGAAAAACAGAACUCAGCUCCACCUCAAAUUAAAAAUAUAAGAUGAAAAAACAUCAAUUGCUAAUUACCCUGGUUUAAAAUUGCACGGUAAACAAAGAAGCAGCUUCUCUAGAGACACCAUCAUUUUCUUCUUUGGAU